AGCUACAACCGGAGCGUGACGGGCAACUUUCCGGUGCUGCCACCGACCGUGGGGAAGGGAAAAUAUCAGACGUUGGAGCUUGUCGACGCUCCCGUCUUGUGCGCUUGUUAAUGCGCCACAGAUGCCCCCACUACUCCGUACGAAAAACCGCCCUCUGUGUUCUCUGCCGACUGAUAUGGAUCAAGGCAAGAAAGCGAGCACCUGAAUUAUCCGAAGAAGAAGAAGAGGUGAACAUUUCGAGAUUCGAUAACUGAUCCCGAUUGCCGCCACCAUGAAAGGCCCCUUACAGCAACGAUGGUUGCGAUCAUGGACAAAACGGCCACGAAUGCAGGACCUCUUCUUCAUCUCCACUCGCUCAAGGAUUGAAUGAAUUAAGUAGACAAGCCCUCACGUCGUGAUUUCUAGAGUGUGGACUCUCUUGCAGAAUCCGAAUCAGUUGAAGAGAACGAUGGAUCCGGAAACACCCGUUCCCUAAAGCACCGGAAUUCAUCACCGUUGGCAGCAGCAGCAAUUUAAUGCCAUAUUGAAUUAUUCAAAUUUUCCGUAACCUAUUUAGUGCCAAACCGCAUCGUACAUCAAUGUAGCGAAAAUGCCUGUCUUACAUGGCAAGUCUAGUGAGUGUCCGUUGAAACACCUAAGUCGGUUUGGGAAAGUGUGUCACGCAAACAAUGUCCCCUCGGUCGAGAUGAAGAUGAGGAUUUCCCCGUGACACUCGAAGAUGAAGCAGCCUUGUGGUACGAUCUCAACAUCGAACCUUACCCUUUGCUCACCUUGGAGGAGAUCAAGUUAGCCUUCGUGCAGGCUUACCAAAAUGUCGGCCCCGUCGACUAAUUAAGAUCAGAGCUUACGACCCUGACUCAGGGGGCUGAUGAGCCUGUGCGUUCCUACUUACUGAGGAUUCAGAGGAUCAUCAAGAUGUGGCCCGAAUUUCACGGGCUUCCAGAUAGACUUCUCAAGGUUCAUCGAUGGGCGCAGAGAAAGACUUCAGGGAGUGGAUAGGCCCGCAGAAUCCCGACUCCCUUACGAAGCCCUGAGGCUUGCAUUCUAAUACGAGCAGGUGAAGGGUGUGGUGUACGCUGCUAAGGUCGAGCUGAAGUGCGGGUUUUGUGGGGAGCCACACGAGGAAAUCGAGGGGUGUGAGGUAAGGGAGAGGAGGAGAGUUGCGGUUGCAGGUCAAGGAGGAGGGGGAAAAUUUGGAGAUCGAGAGGCUUUCGGGUUCUGCUAGCGGUGAGGACGGGACGUGAGGAAGAGGAGCCUGUGGCAUUGGCGAUCGAUGUUGGAGAUAUCAGUGCUGGAAGAAGAGGCUUGACAGGAACUCAAGCAAUCUGACCAUCCAUCCAAGCCCGUUUCCAUUCUUUCGUGCCCAAUAUUGUCUAUGAUCCUGUCUUUGAAUAAGUUAAUGAUGUCGAUGCAUCCUGCGAUCGCAGUUAGGAACCUCCAUGUUUAUGGUUGUGUAAGUGCUCAACUUCUUGGUUCAAUUUUCGGCUCUUGAGCUUCCCAAUAAGUGGCUCCUAAGCUUUCUUAUAACCAAAAGAAAAGAAAAAAAUCAAUAAUACAAUCCGAUGGUUUUGACUUUGAAUUUGAGAACUAAA